CUAGGUAUUAUGUGGACAAAUGGUUUCUCAGGUCCAUCCAUAAGGGUCAACAUUACACGUUGUUCUUCAACUACUGCAGUAGUGCUUGGGGCAUUCUGGAUAUG